GACGAACGCUGGCGGCGUGCUUAACACAUGCAAGUCGAGCGGAGCGGCGAACGGGUGAGUAACGCGUGAGUAACUGCCCCCCUCUCUGGGAUAACAGUUGGAAACGGCUGCUAAUACCGGAUAGUGGGGGAUGAGUCGCGGCCUAUCAGCUUGUUGGUGGGGUAGUGGCCUACCAAGGCGACGACGGGUAGCCGGCCUGGGAGGGCGACCGGCCACAGUGGGCUGGGAUACGGCCCAAACUCCAACUGGAGGCAGCGGUGGGGAAUAUUGCACAAUGGGGGAAGCGCUGAUGCAGCAACGCCGGGUGCGGAAUGACGGCCGUCGGGUUGGAAACCGCGUGCAGCCAUGAAGCGGUAGUGGCAGAAGAAGCACCGGCUAACUACGUGCCAGCAGCCGCGGUAAUAC
rnacentral:rRNA from 1 species